rnacentral:rRNA from 1 species
GAGUAACACGUGACUACCUACCCUCGAGUGGGGGAUAACCCCGGGAAACCGGGGCUAAUACCGCAUAACAUCGCAAGAUCAAAGGAGCAAUUCGCUUGAGGAGGGGGUCGCGGCUGAUUAGCUAGUUGGUGGGGUAACGGCCCACCAAGGCGAUGAUCGGUAGCCGGCCUGAGAGGGCGCACGGCCACACUGGAACUGAAACACGGUCCAGACUCCUACGGGAGGCAGCAGUGGGGAAUUUUGCGCAAUGGGGGAAACCCUGACGCAGCAACGCCGCGUGGAGGAUGAAGUCCCUUGGGACGUAAACUCCUUUCGACCCGGACGAUAAUGACGGUACGGGUGGAAGAAGCACCGGCUAACUUCGUGCCAGCAGCCGCGGUAAUACGAGGGGUGCGAGCGUUGUUCGGAAUUAUUGGGCGUAAAGGGCGCGUAGGCGGUGCGGUAAGUCACCUGUGAAAUCUCCCGGCUCAACUGGGAGCUUGCAGGCGAAACUGCCGUGCUGGAGUGUGGGAGAGGUGCGUGGAAUUCCCGGUGUAGCGGUGAAAUGC